rnacentral:lncRNA from 1 species
CCUCCUUUGUCAAGUCUAAAUAGUCCUAAGGACUUCACCACAACAUAGGAGUUCAUUAGAAGAUGAAACAUUUUGUGAUGAAAAAUAUCAAAAUAAUUUUUAUUAAUUCAUAAUUCAUGUACAAAUAUAAAAAUGAAAACAACCAUCAACAGGCUAAUGAUUGGCUUUAGGAUACUAUUCCCAACAAUCUUCCACUUGACCUAAAGCCAAUCGGAGCAGUAUCUAAUACCCAUC